GUGGUGUCCUCUAUCCCUUCUCACCACCAGCAAUAAUAUUUCCAGAGAUAAAUUAUUCAAGGAUUGCCUGUCAAGGGGGAGCCACCUGAUAGCAAGGACCUCAGGGGAGCCAAAAACCUUACAGCUGGAUAUCAGGUGAAACGAUACACCCCACUGCUUCAUCUCCUCCUCCUCCGUCCUCCCUCCUUCAUUUCCACUCUUGAUGUAAAGUGUAACUGAACACUUGAAAGAAAACACCAACUACUCCUGCUUGUUUUUUUUCCUCUGUAAAGCUGUCUUCUGUUUUUUUCUCUCCAAUGCUCGUCACCAGCAAGCAGUUGAAUAUCGGUCGCUCCCACAGUUGGGACACCCUGGGGGGGAAUGAGGGGCAGUGGUCCGGGGGAGAAAGCGUUUACGACCACCAAGGCAGGAUUGCGGGCCGACGCAACUCGCUGUCUUACAGGGGAGACAGAGGAGGUUACUACGAGCCACCCCCUGGGGUGCGUCCUCCUGACCUGGAUCUGAAACGAGACCCCUACUCCUACCAGGACUCUCUGUACAGCCAGCAGGGCUACGCUGCUGAUCCCCGCGAAAUGAGAAAGGGCUCAGUCCCUGAGCUAAACCACUACGACCGUCCAACCAUGGCUCAUAGUCACCAAGGAUCCGUCGUCUCCCAGGAAUAUUAUCCCCAUGACCCUGCUAUGGCUCCCCGACCACCGGAGGAUCCCCGGGGCUUCUACCGGGUGGAGCAGCAGCCACAGCCUCACCCGCUCAACAGAUCCCCGUCCCACUAUGGGAUGAACCCAGUGGGACGGUUGCCAUGGGACCAGGGACAGGGAGGGAGGCCCGGACCUCCGGGUCCUCCAUCGGCUUCUCCUCUUCCUCCUCCCCCUCCUCCGCCAACUGCCCAUGGCAUGAACCAGGUUUACAGUCAGCCUGCAGCUGUAGCUGCCGCUGCCAAGAUGAUGCCAGAUGGCCAGCGCUCUCCUGCUCACUAUGGGAUGGAACAACCAUCUUCGCCUCGGUACGCAUCUGAGCCACCCCCUCUAGCUGGACAGCCGGUCUACACUGACAUCAACGGCCGUCCCCUGGACCAUCGGCAGCAGCAACCCGCAGCCACCUGCCUGGUGGUGGAUCCUAACACGCAGGGGCUGGAUGGGAGCAUGCAACAACGAGGUAUGAUGAUGAGGCAGGAUUGCACCUCGCCCUACGGAGUACAACAACAGCCUCCACAGACCAACAUGCAGGUCUACAACACCAACCCUCCUCUCGCCGCUCCUGCCCCUCUUCCUCCCCCACCAGCCCCUGUAGCCCUCCCCCUUCCACCUCCCACAGCCCCCCAGACGCCUGCAGACCCAAAGAGGAAUGCCGACCCAGAGUUCCUGGCUCUGCUUCGCAAUGAGGGUCUCUCGGAGAGUACCAUCUCCUCACUCAUCCAGCAGGGCUUUGACACAACUGGCAUGCUCGCAGUCAUGGAAGAGAAUGACGUGCGCUCUGUGGCUCCCAACUUAGGGCAGGCGCGUGUGCUGUCGCGGGUAGCAAUCAGUGUCAAGAGGCCCUUGGAGCCUACACCCACGUCCCAGCAACAGGCCCCCAUGCGGGGCCGCUCCAACAGUUUCAGCCACCGCUCUGACAUGUACCUCCAACAGCAGCAGCAGCAGCACCAACUUCAUCAGCAGGCCAUGGCAAUGGGCAUGGAUCCACGGCUGAUGCCACCACAGACCCCUGGUGUCAUGCAGACCAUCUCCCCCGCGAUGGCUGAGGCCAUUGCCAGGAGGCCCAACAGCGCUCCCUCUCAGCACCUCCUAGAAACCACCCAGGGCUACCCAGGACCUCGUAACCCGGGGCCCUACAGUGGUGCCAUGGUCCCUGUCCAGUCCCGGCCCGUGUCUGCAUACUCCCAACACCCAGGUGUCCCUAUGCAUCCGGGCAUGCAGAUGAUGGCUGCCAUGCCCCAGCACCAGCAGAUGUCAGGGGCUGCAAUGCAAGCCAUGCAACAACAGCAGAUGCCAGUGUCCAUGCCUGCCCUGCCGCCACCUCAGCAGGCCCCGAAGGCGUACUCCACCAACUACACAGUGCCCAUGGAGCUGAUGAAGCGGGACCGCAGCCUGCAACCCAUGUCGCCCAUGCACAGCCCCCACCUCAGCCCACAGAUGAUGCGCAAGGCUGGGGGCACCCCGUCUGAUGGCGCCAUGAUGCCCGUGGGUACCACCAUGCAGAGCCAGAGUGCUAUGGCCGCCAACCAGAAGCUUAGCCGCCGUACCGGCCCACCUGUCAUCGUCUCCACCAUGGCAUCACCAGAUACAAGUAUCCGGCCCCAGAUCAUGAAUGGGCCGAUGCACCCUCGCCCCCUAGUGGCCCUGUUAGAUGGGCGUGACUGUACAGUAGAGAUGCCCAUCCUCAAAGACCUGGCCACUGUCGCCUUCUGUGACGCCCAGUCCACACAGGAGAUCCAUGAGAAGGUGCUGAACGAGGCAGUAGGGGCCAUGAUGUACCACACCAUCACCUUGACCAGAGAAGACCUGGAGAAAUUCAAGGCUCUACGCAUCAUCAUCCGCAUCGGCAGCGGCUACGACAACAUCGACAUCAAGGCGGCCGGAGAGAUGGGCAUCGCAGUGUGUAACAUCCCGUCGGCGGCGGUGGAGGAGACAGCAGACUCCACUCUGUGCCACAUUCUCAACCUGUACCGGCGGAACACCUGGCUGUACCAGGCUCUCCGGGAGGGCACGCGGGUCCAGAGCGUGGAGCAGAUCAGAGAGGUGGCGUCCGGAGCCGCCAGGAUCCGAGGAGAAACGCUGGGCCUCAUCGGCUUCGGUCGUUCAGGGCAGGCGGUGGCGGUGCGGGCCAAGGUGUUUGGCUUCAACGUGAUCUUCUACGACCCGUACCUGCAGGACGGACUUGAGCGUUCGCUGGGUGUUCAGCGUGUCUACACCCUGCAAGACCUGCUCUACCAGAGUGACUGUGUCUCCCUGCACUGCAACCUGAACGAACACAACCACCACCUCAUCAACGACUUCACCAUCAAACAGAUGCGACAGGGUGCGUUCCUGGUGAACUCUGCGCGGGGAGGUCUGGUGGAUGAGAAGGCCUUGGCUCAGGCCCUGAAAGAGGGCAGGAUACGGGGGGCCGCUCUGGACGUUCAUGAGUCAGAACCCUUCAGUUUUACCCAGGGUCCUCUGAAGGAUGCUCCUAACCUGAUCUGUACUCCUCACACGGCCUGGUACAGUGAACAGGCCUCACUAGAGAUGAGAGAGGCAGCUGCCACAGAGAUACGCAGAGCCGUCACUGGCCGUAUCCCCGACAGUUUACGAAACUGUGUCAACAAGGAGUUCUUUGUUACCACGGCGCCCUGGACAGUGGAACAGCAGCAGAUGCAGCAGCAGAUGCACCCUGAACUCAACGGUGCCACGUACAGCCGAGUCAACCAAACCAUGGUACAGGCCAUAGCAACUGGGGGAAUGCAAGACAAAUUAUAUACCUAAUAGAGAACCAGUUUCCCAAGAACAACAGAUGAGGUCUUGUGGUCGUUUUGAAUCCUGAAUUGACAUGUACCCCCCUGGUGUGGUGGGUGUGGCCUCGGGUGGGAUCCCUGGGCCGAUGGAGGGGAUGAUGCCUGGGGGGGUGCCCAUCGCCCACACCCUGCCCUCUGGUACCCACCCCUCCCAGGCCCCCUCCCCCAACCAACCCUCCAAACAAGGGGAGCCCAUGAGACAGCACAUGACCGAGCCAUAACUCUGCAUCCAGGGAGGAAGGAGUUCAUAUAUACAAAACCGACCAACUGACUCACCCGCUCUUAGACCAGCAGACUGAUCGUUAGGGUUCACACAGAACACCGGAACCAAGUGGGGACAGUGAAUAUAUUCACAACUGACACUCCAAAGUGGGGACAGUCAAAACUCAUGUUCCAAGGAUCUGAACUUUUCACUUCUAAUUUUCCUUUGUUUUAGUUUUUAUUCAGUUUAAGUGUUUACUCUUUUUUUUUUGAGUGUUUGUUGGAAGAUUCCUGUGUUCUGGGACAAGUUGUUACCGAGUGCCAGAGUUAAGGCUCGCCCAUCUUGACUGACCCACCAAUGGGAGAGCUUGGAAGGACAAUGACAUCAUCUGUUACUGCCCCAUUCUUCAUUUCAGUUCAGUCCACGUGUGUCUGUGUAUUUUUCUUUCACCUGUUCUGAGACCACCCUACAAGUGAAUAUCUGUCUUUCUGUUCUUCAAUGUGAAAAAAAAUUAAUGAUUAUAAAAUGACAUAUAUUUAUCAGACAGUAGAAAAAGACAAUUGGUGUUGCCAGUGGCAUCGGCAGUCUCAAUGGGGACCUCUAAACCCUUUCCUAGUCCAUCUCUCACCCCGUUGACUGCUGGCUCAUGAAUUUACAGACAGUAAUGUUGGACACAUCAGGGUUGCCAGAUCUCUUGAGCCUCAUGACCAGAACGAGACAAAAACAAUAAGCCCAAAUUGCCAUUCUGAAGAAUCCAAACAAAACUCUAUAUGGGACCUAAAACCCUUAUUUGAAUUUGUCCAUUGUGAACAUCUCUCAACCCCUGAGAACACCCAACGUAUUAUAGACAAGAUUUUGUUCUGGUAAAACUCCAAUUUAGUUGUUUAGUUCCUCUUAAGAGCUUUUUCAAAGAUCCAGGUUCUGACGCACGGGUGGGAGAGAGACUAGUGUGAUAAAGGUUAUGAUCGCAAUUUCAGACAAUGUGAAGUUGUAACUAUUGAUGAAUUGCCUUUCAUUACGACUUUGGAUUCAGUUAUCACGUGGUGGUCUGCCGCUAAAAUAUUGAAGUAAGAAAUGGAUGCAACAGCAGUUCUAACUGUUAAAAGCACCUCUGCUUUUACCUGGACCUCUACAUUAUGGAUUUGGACAUUGUCAUGGGUGUUUGUAUACUAGAUUGAUCUCUUAAAAUGUCCUGUUUUUUUUUCUCACCAAAUGGACUUACAAAGUAGCACCAGACAGAUAGGAAAGGGUUUGGAAAGUGAGGUUACCGACUCAGGAAUUUUUUUUUUUGCAGAUAUCUUUUUCCCAAAUUCUGUCUGAAAGAAAAAAAAAAGUCUGGAUGGUUCUGUGUGUUUCCACCUUUUCUUCAUUGUGGUAUUUUUAUAAAUCAAACCUGUCUUUUGGUGUUCCAAGGUUUUUGCAGAGUCCUGUUAGAUUUGUAUUGGCUAGUUAAAUGUUCUUAUAAUCAUAGUCUAAUGUGAACCACCCUUUCUUUUUGCUUUUCUGUUCUAAUGAAAGCCAGUGGGAGCUCUUAGAGGCAUCGUGCACUGCACUCUGUGAGCAAUAGCAACACCCCUCUAGUGCCCCAAAGUUAGCAAGACAGGGCUGCUAGCAGAUUGUUUGGUUUUUAGUGUGAGUAUUUGUAUUUGUUUCUUGUACAAGGUGAACAUAUAGCAUUCAGUGCAGUUCAAAUAAAAAAAUGCUGCUCUAUCAGGCUCUGUGAAAGGUUUGUGAAAUUGGUGUUUGACUUUGCUGCUUAUUCAUGCGUAUGAAGUUUAACAUUACUAAUGUGGAAUUAACAUCAGUAGCUAGGUUUCCAUCCAAUUGGCGACAGAUUUUCAUGCGAGUAUUCUAAAACCCACAUAAAUAUGCACAUUUCCCCACCGAACUGACUUGUUGCUCAUAAAAAUCAGUGCGUGAUGAGUAGUGCACACAAUGUACUUUUUCGCUUAUGUUUUCAUGUACUGAAUAAAAAUGUAAAGUUCAA